GUGCCAGCAGCCGCGGUAAUACGUAGGUGGCAAGCGUUGUCCGGAUUUAUUGGGCGUAAAGUGAGCGCAGGCGGUUUCUUAAGUCUGAUGUGAAAGCCCCCGGCUCAACCGGGGAGGGUCAUUGGAAACUGGGAGACUUGAGUGCAGAAGAGGAGAGUGGAAUUCCAUGUGUAGCGGUGAAAUGCGUAGAUAUAUGGAGGAACACCAGUGGCGAAGGCGGCUCUCUGGUCUGUAACUGACGCUGAGGCUCGAAAGCGUGGGGAGCAAACAGGAUUAGAUACCCUGGUAGUCC
rnacentral:rRNA from 1 species